rnacentral:misc_RNA from 1 species
GAUGAAGAACGUAGCGAAAUGCGAUAAGUAAUGUGAAUUGCAGAAUUCCGUGAAUCAUCGAAUCUUUGAACGCACAUUGCGCCCUCUGGUAUUCCGGGGGGCAUGCCUGUCCGAGCGUCAUUUCAACCAUCAAGCCCCCGGGCUUGUGUUGGGGACCUGCGGCUGCCGCAGGCCCUGAAAAGCAGUGGCGGGCUCGCUGUCACACCGAGCGUAGUAGAUUUUAUCUCGCUCUGGGCGUGCUGCGGGUUCCGGCCGUUAAACCACCCUUUUAACCCAAGGUUGACCUCGGAUCAGGUAGGAAGACCCGCUGAACUUAAGCAUAUCAAUAAGCGGAGGA